rnacentral:lncRNA from 1 species
GGCCUUGCUCUUAUGUCAUCUGACUAAAGGUUUCAUAGACCAAAAUAACCAUCCAACCUGUUGGAAUACUGAAACAAUUGCUGCCUGCUUUCCACACACUACAUAAAAUAUGUGGAUAUCCUAAAUUCUACAAAAAAAGAUUUGUAAGCAAAUCAAGCAAUACUGGGACUCCCUCUUCUCCAGAAGAGACAUCCUGGCCUCCAUGCAGAGGAAUGUGUGGAUAGACAUAUAUUUAAGGAAGACACUAAACCAGAAAAUACUACAUUACACCCUCUUAAAAGACUUCUAAGAUUGUUGUCAUGCCUACCACAGACAUUCAGAUGAUGUGUAUUCUUGAUUGUGAUUUCAUGUUUGGAGCUGAUGAAGGAGUUUGAAGUCUCCAGAGCAGCAAGGAGAGUGGGGAGUAGAACUCAUCAUCUUUAAGUCACUCAUCA